CCUACGGGAGGCUGCAGUGGGGAAUAUUGCACAAUGGGGGAAACCCUGAUGCAGCGACGUCGCGUGAGUGAAGAAGUAUCUCGGUAUGUUAAGCUUUAUCAGCAGGGAAGAAAAUGAAGGUACCUGUUUAAGAUGCACCGGCUAACUACGUGCCAGAAGCCGCGGUAAUAAGUAGGGGGCAAGCGUUAUCCGGAUUUAAUGGGCGUAAAGGGAGCGUAGACGGCAGCACAAGUCUGGAGUGAAAUGCCGGGGCUUAACCCCGGAACUGCUGUUGAAACUGUGCAGCUAGAGUGCAGGAGAGGUAAGUGGAAUGCCUAGUGUAGCGGUGAAAUGCAUAGAUAUUAGGAAGAACACCAGUUGCGAAGGCAGCUUACUGGACUGUAACUGACGUUGAGGCUCGAAAGCGUGGGUAGCAAACAGGAUUAGAUACCCCAGUAGUC
rnacentral:rRNA from 1 species